UCGGGGCGAGUAAAGUGGCAAACGGGUGAGUAAUACAUGGGUAACCUGCCCUACAUUCGGGACAACACCUUGAAAAGGGUGCUAAUACGGAUCUAUCACCAACGCUCUGGCAUGGUGAUAAAAGAUGGCCUCUCCUUGGAAGCUACCGCGUGAGGAGGGGCCAUGCCCCAAUAGCUUGUUGGUAGGGUAACGGCCUACCAAGGCUACGAUGGGUAGCCGCCUGAGAGGGGGCCGGCCACACUGGACUGAGAUACGCCCAGACUCCUACGGAGGCAGAGUGAGGAUUUUGCGAAUGGAGAAACCUGACGCAGCAAUGCCGCGUGAGCGAUGAAGCCUUUUGGAGUGUAAAGCUCUGUCAAAUGGGAAGAAACAGGAUAAGGCCAAUACCCUUAUCCCUUGACGGUACCAUUAGAGGAAGCCCCGGCUAACUCCGUGCCAGCAGCCGCGGUAAUACGGAGGGGGCGAGCGUUAUUCGGAAUUACUGGGCGUAAAGAGCGUGUAGGCGGUCUUGUAAGUUAGGCGUGAAAACCUAUGGCUUAACCAUAGGCCUGCGUUUAAAACUACUUGACUAGAGUAUUGGAGAGGGAAGUGGAAUUCCUAGUGUAGCGGUGAAAUGCGUAGAUAUUAGGAGGAACACCGGUGGCGAAGGCGGCUUCCUGGACAGAUACUGACGCUGGGACGCGAAAGCUAGGGAGCAACGGAAUGAUCCCGGAGUCAGCUGUAAACGAUGGGCACUAGGUGUAGGAGGUAAUGACCCCCUCUGUGCCGGAGCUAACGCAGUAAGUGCCCCGCCUGGGGAGUACGGUCGCAAGGCUGAAACUCAAAGGAAUUGACGGGGGCCCGCACAAGCGGUGGAGCAUGUGGUUUAAUUCGACGCAACGCGAAGAACCUUACCGGGGUUUGACAUGUACCGGCAGUCUUGGAAACAAGAUCUUCCUUCGGGACUGGUACACAGGUGCUGCAUGGCUGUCCUCAGCUCGUGUCGUGA
rnacentral:rRNA from 1 species